UGUUGCACGAGCCGAGGCUAGGCAGUUUCUAGGUCGAACUAAACCGCAAAAGCAAACCAACUCUCUUAUAUACAUACAUGUACACAUACGUAAAUACGGUUCUGAGAGGUGAUAAUUCGUUGUUGGAAAACAAAAAAGGAAAAUAAAAAAAAAUAG